AAAACAACUCUCGGUAACAGAUAUCUCAGCUCUCGCAUCGAUGAAGAAUGUAGCGAAAUACGAUACUUGGUGUGAAUUGCAGAAUCCCGUGAACCAUCGAGUCUUUGAACGCAA
rnacentral:rRNA from 1 species